rnacentral:rRNA from 1 species
UACGAAGGGGGCUAGCGUUGCUCGGAAUCACUGGGCGUAAAGGGUGCGUAGGCGGGUCUUUAAGUCAGGGGUGAAAUCCUGGAGCUCAACUCCAGAACUGCCUUGAUACUGGCGAUCUCGAGUCCGGGAGAGGUGAGUGGAACUGCGAGUGUAGAGGUGAAAUUCGUAGAUAUUCGCAAGAACACCAGUGGCGAAGGCGGCUCACUGGCCCGGUACUGACGCUGAGGUGCGAAAGCGUGGGGAGCAAACAGG